CAACGUACAAACCUUAUCGAUAAACAAUUGGAGGGCAAGUCUGGUGCCAGCAGCCGCGGUAAUUCCAGCUCCAAUAGCGUAUAUUAACGUUGUUGCAGUUAAAAAGCUCGUAGUUGAAAUGAAGGGUAGUUGUGUAAUGAAUACAUUCGUGUAUUUUGUUAUUCUACUACCCUCCUUCUAAAUUCGAUAUAUGAGUAUUAAUUUACUUGUAUAUGGUUUUAGACGUUUACUGUGAGAAAAUUAGAGUGUUCAAAGCAGGCAUUUGCUUGAAUAUAUUAGCAUGGAAUAAUCAUGUAUGAUUUUCAUGAUGUAUUUGAUUGGUUUGGUUCAUGAGAAUAAGAUUAAAAGGGACAGUUGGGGGUAUUCAUAUUCAAUAGUCAGAGGUGAAAUUCUCGGAUUUAUGGAAGAUGAACAAGUGCGAAAGCAUUUACCAAGGAUGUUUUCAUUAAUCAAGAACGAAAGUUAGGGGAUCGAAGAGGAU
rnacentral:rRNA from 1 species